GGCGGUUAGAAUUUUCACUUACAAUGAAAGGCACCCUUUAGGGCGCCUUUAUAUUGGCAAACCGUUAAG
rnacentral:tRNA from 2 species